GAGGACUGUGGCCAUCACCAGACACCAGAGGCUAAAGAAAGGCGAGGGUUGACUACUGCCAAGAAGAAUUUAUUAUAUCUAAACCUGGACCAAAUCUCCAGCAUCCCCAGAAGUCAGCAAGAACGAGAAAAUCCUGUUUGAAAAGACAUGGACUUUUGCCUAAUGACUACUCCACCUGACCAAUCAAUGAAGUACAAAACCAGUCCUCC
rnacentral:lncRNA from 1 species